UCUCGGGUAGAUCGGCGGCAUGGUCUCGGUCCUCUGCCUGGUCCUCUCUCCCCGCCCUCCGUGAGACCCUGAUUCCCUGCUUCCUGAACUCCCUUUGCCCAGCGUCUCACUCUCGAAUUAGCUGGCCGUCCUCCUCAACGCCCGCGACGAAGGGUAAGAGGCCGCAGGGGCGCAGCGUCCGUCUGCUCGAUUAAGAGCGACGACCUCCGGAGGUGGACGCAUCGGUCGUGUCAGACGGGAGGAAGUAGGUGGCUGCGCUGGACGCGUUCAUGCCGUCAUGCAUGGCAUACUGCAGCCUGCAGAUGAAGACGGCAAGGGAGGGAGAAGUAGGUGCGCAUGGUGGUGGUGAACACUUGCUACAUCUUCCUCUCAACACGAUUGUUUCUAAUGAGAGCAAUUUCUUCAACAAAAAUAAUAGCAAGAAAGAAGAGGAGAUGAAGAAAUUUAGACAUCGACGAACGGCCAGAAACGCAGAAAAUCAAUGUUGCGAUGUCUUCGCUUCGUGACGCUGCAGCGCAGGCUAGGGGACGAGACCCGUUGUGGUGCGAAUUUCGUGCAGGAGGGCAACACCGUUGAGGUUGUUCCCCGUUGUCUUUGACCUACCUUAUGUCAACGCUGACAUGUAGUCCGCUGCUCCAGCAAGAGCGAGCAAAAGUGCAGUUCUUGGUUUAUGGUGAUCGUUCUUGGUGAGAGUUUGUUCAGAGUGUGUUGUGUGUACCAAGACCACCACAUGAACAUCACAAGUUUCAGUGUU